rnacentral:rRNA from 1 species
UACGUAGGGUGCGAGCGUUGUCCGGAAUUAUUGGGCGUAAAGGGCUCGUAGGCGGUCUGUCGCGUCGGGAGUGAAAACUCAGGGCUUAACCCUGAGCCUGCUUCCGAUACGGGCAGACUAGAGGUAUGCAGGGGGAGAACGGAAUUCCUGGUGUAGCGGUGAAAUGCGCAGAUAUCAGGAGGAACACCGGUGGCGAAGGCGGGUCUCUGGGCCGAUACUGACGCUGAGGAGCGAAAGCGUGGGGAGCAAACAGG